UCCCCUGAAAAGAGCACAAGUAGAAUUAGACUUUCACCAUUGUUAUCACCAUCAUCACCAUACACCAUUCAUUGGCCACACAUGCACAUCUUGAUUUGACUUAUUGACUUGUUUCUCUGGAUCCAUGGUUUGACUAUGCAAUAAAUGUCUUGUAAGUAUGUAUACUCUAUCUCCCACCUAUGAGCUCCAGAUAUCAAAAGCCUUAUUAGAGUAGGAUGAG
rnacentral:lncRNA from 1 species